CCUACGGGUGGCAGCAGUAGGGAAUCUUCCACAAUGGGCGAAAGCCUGAUGGAGCAACGCCGCGUGGGUGAAGAAGGUCUUCGGAUCGUAAAACCCUGUUGUUAGAGAAGAAAGUGCGUGAGAGUAACUGUGCACGUUUCGACGGUAUCUAACCAGAAAGCCACGGCUAACUACGUGCCAGCAGCCGCGGUAAUACGUAGGUGGCAAGCGUUAUCCGGAUGUAUUGGGCGUAAAGGGAACGCAGGCGGUGUUGUAAGUCUGAUGUGAAAGACUUCGGCUUAACGGGAGUAGUGCAUUUGAAACUAGAAGACUUGAGUGCAGAAGAGGAGAGUGGAAUUCCAUGUGUAGCGGUGAAAUGCGUAGAUAUAAGGAAGAACACCAGUGGCGAAAGCGGCUCUCUGGUCUGUAACUGACGCUGAGGUGCGAAAGCGUGGGUAGCAAACAGGAUUAGAUACCCCUGUAGUC
rnacentral:rRNA from 1 species